GACGAACCGUGCGAACGUUGUUCGGAAUCACUGGGCUUAAAGGGCGCGUAGGCGGCCAACUAAGUCAGACGUGAAAUCCCCAGGCUCAACCUGGGAACUGCGUCUGAUACUGGAUGGCUUGAAUUCGGGAGAGGGAUGCAGAAUUCCAGGUGUAGCGGUGAAAUGCGUAGAUAUCUGGAGGAAUACCGGUGGCGAAGGCGGCAUCCUGGACCGACAUUGACGCUGAUGAGCGAAAGCUAGGGGAGCAAACGGG
rnacentral:rRNA from 1 species